UGAAAGAAAGUGACAUGAGUGACUAGUAACUUUAUAUUUACCAUCCUGUAUAGGUUAUGCGUGUGAACUGUAAAUGUUUUAAUUCAUUAUAUUAGUUUAAAGGUAGCCAGGUCUAACUGUUUAAGUAUAUGCCGAAUCGGAGCAGUGAAACUUCACCUUGAAGUUGAACUCGAACUUCGAAGACAUUGCCCUUGACCACAUUGUCAAUGCCAGUGUGACACUGACAGUCACUGAGCUUUAAAAAAGUUGAACUUAACUGUUAACUUAUUUGUAAUUUAGAACAGUUUCUUAUGUUGCUGGGACAAGUACGUCUACUGUGACGGUGUAGGAAUGUUCUUCUAAUACCAGCAGUGAGGCCUACGAGUUGUAUGUUUUUUACGGUGGCACCUUGUGCUUGGAUUAUAUCUAUCAGCAGUUAUAUGUUUGCCGAUGUGAAAAGUAAACAACGAGAACAGAUGCUACUAUAACUUCACCUUAAAAGAGCAUAACAAUGCCACCACCACCUUCUCUACCUCCUCCCCCACUGCCUGCACAUUUUUCAUCUCAACAAUCUUCAAAGCUGUCACAGACAGAAAAUCAGCAACAACCUAACCGCAAUGCCCUCUUAAGUGAGAUCAGACGAGGGGCAAGGUUAAAGAAAGCUGAAACCAGUGACAGAAGUGUUCCUGUUAUUG